UACGUAGGGACCAAGCGUUGUUCGGAUUUACUGGGCGUAAAGGGCGCGUAGGCGGCCUGUUACGUCUGCUGUGAAAUCCCGGGGCUUAACCCCGGGCGUGCAGUGGAUACGGGCAGGCUAGAGGUAGGUAGGGGAGAAUGGAAUUCCCGGUGUAGGCGGUGAAAUGCGCAGAUAUCGGGAGGAACACCAGUGGCGAAGGCGGCGAUCUGGGAAGAUACUGACGCUGAGGUGCGAAAGCGUGGGAGCAAACAGG
rnacentral:rRNA from 1 species